rnacentral:tRNA from 1 species
AUGUAGCUCAGUGGUAGAGCAUUUGUCUAGAUACGCAAAGCCCUGGGUUCAAUCCCCAGCAU